rnacentral:lncRNA from 12 species
GGCAGAGGAGCAUUUUGGACAGUCUCACUCCCACCAAACUGACACUGAUUGCCCAUCUUGACUCAGGAGCAUUUGUUCCCGGGCUGAUACCUUUUCCUCAUGAGUGAGAUGCAGACCUGCAGUAAAGCAUCCUUUCACUUCUACUUCCUGGGACAUGAUCAUGGGGCCAGAACCCCUACAGCAUCCCCUUCCUUAUCACACUGCCUACCUGAGACUUCAUUGUCAUCAAAGAGGAAUUUGAUUGGAAGCCCGAAUUUCACAUAAUCAUAAAUCUCUGCAAAGAUGAGAAAAUAGAGGCUCCGAGAAGGAAAGGGAAUGAUUCUUCUAAAUCUCCACUAAGCAAGAGAUU